rnacentral:tRNA from 1 species
GUGGAUAUAGCUCAGUUGGCUAGAGCGCCAGAUUGUGGCUCUGGAGGCCGUCGGUUCAAGCCCGAUUAUCCACCCCA